CCAUUUUAGGACGCUUGUGACAUGCUGUUCAGGUUCUAGUCUGAAGUAGGAUUUUUCUCGCAUCUUGGUCACUGGUAGCACUUAAUGACUCCUCUGAGAGUGGUUUUGUCAUUUUUGCUGUUAGAGUUCACGAUAACUAAGAUCCUGGAGAAUUGAAUCCAUUUUCUCAGCUUAGAUAUAAAUCAAACCAUCCCUGUUGACAACACGUCAGCCUGCUGUGGGAAUACAUUGCUGGUUAUUUCUGACUUAUCAAUGUGAAUUUUGAUUAUGGAAGCUGAAUUCUGGUUGAUAGGGAUCCAUUGUAAUGUUCUCUCUACUUUUGCGCAUUUUUAAGUAUUUCAUAAUGCGAAAUAUAAAAAGUGUGUGUCUAUAGUGAGUGCUGUUCAAUAAGAUUCUUAUAAGGAGUGAAGAAUUCAAGCACUUAGUUCUUAAGUAUUACUUGUAAUGGGCAGUGGGCUGGAGGUGUUCCAGGCAGACGGAACUCAAUUACCAAGAGCACAGAAGCAAGAGAUCAUCUAUUCCAUAGAUUAGAAAGUGGUGGAUCAUAAAGCAUGAGGUAGAAUUCUGAGAGACAGAACUAGAGACUUAAACCAGAUUAAGAUUAGCCGUCUGUGACAAGCACUGGUCAUUGGGAUUCUCCCUGCCACUCACUCCUUUCUCCUUGCUAACAAGAUCCUGAUUUGUUCAAGAAGCAGAGAAAGAGAUGGAAAACAGCACAAAAUUAGAUGAAAUAAUAGUUUCAGACUUUGGAGAAUAGGCAGAGAAACACUAUGAUCCCUGAGAAAAAAGAGAUAAACCACGUAAAGUCUAUAGUCAUCCUGUAUUUUUAUUGAGAGACACACAUGCAAGACCACAGUGUAGACGAAAGUCCCAAGGAGAGUAUAUGGCCUUGCCUUGUAUAGAAGACACAUACCAGAGUUCAGGCGUUUUGGAAGGAGGCUGAAGUUGCAGCAAAGGGCUCUGAAGAGGUGGUGGAUGUGCCCAAGACACAGGGAAGAAAAAGAAGUAAACAGGGAAGUACAACACAGACUCUGAAAUGGGGCAUCAUGGAAGACGGAGCUUUGUCGUCUUGGUCUUUGCUGUAUAUUCACUUCCUACAACAGUGCUAAAUACCUUGUGGAUGCUUAAAUAUAUUAAAUGAAUGCAUAAAUGAAAAGAGUAAAUAAAGAGUGUAUAUGAAAGUAUGUAGAUAAAAUUCUUCACUAAGCCUUGGGGAUCCAGCUGCUUAAGGACUAAGACCGUAUCUAGCUCCUUUUAGUAUUUCCACAGCAUGCCAUGGAGAUACAUGUUUCUGAUUAUAUAUGAUACAUGGAAAUUAUAUGUUGUUGAAUGAGUGAUUGAGUAAAUGUGUACUAGGGCAGCUAAUCAUAAAUAUUUCUACUAUUGCUAAAAUGACUGGAUUUAUCCAUUCCUUCUGAGAGUUUAUACUGAUUGCUUAUAUUGUAUCAAAUACCGUAACUGAGGGCAAUGUUUACUCAAACUAAUAGCACCAUUCAAAUUUAUGCAAACAAUAACACUAUAUCUUUAAAAUGUUUUCACUAAAAGCUGCAUAAAGAGUGUAUUCAACAACAAUAGAAUAAUUUUACAAUCUUUUUUCUUGCUUAAUGGCCAUUUGUGCCUUCUGACAUGCUGCUAGCCAUUCAAAGGUCACACUACCUUGAAGUUGAAGAUCAAGACAAAUGAUUAGACUCAUAAAAGACAAAUCACGUCUUUCUGGACAG
rnacentral:lncRNA from 1 species